rnacentral:tRNA from 1 species
GGAGGUAUGGCUCAGUGGUAGAGUGCUUGCCUACCAUGCAUGAGGCCAGAGUUCAAUCCCCAGUACCACCA